rnacentral:rRNA from 1 species
UACGUAGGGGGCAAGCGUUGUCCGGAAUCAUUGGGCGUAAAGCGCGCGUAGGCGGCUCGAUCAAUCUGCUGUGAAAGUCAAAGGCUCAACCUUUGAAUGCCGGUGGAUACUGUCGAGCUAGAGUCCGGAAGAGGCGAGUGGAAUUCCUGGUGUAGCGGUGGAAUGCGCAGAUAUCAGGAGGAACACCAACGGCGAAGGCAGCUCGCUGGGACGGUACUGACGCUAAGGCGCGAAAGCGUGGGGAGCGAACAGG